rnacentral:rRNA from 1 species
UACGAAGGGGCUAGCGUUGCUCGGAAUCACUGGGCGUAAAGCGCACGUAGGCGGCUUUUAAGUCAGGGUGAAAUCCUGGAGCUCAACUCCAGAACUGCCUUUGAUACUGAGAAGCUUGAGUCCGGGAGAGGUGAGUGGAACUGCGAGUGUAGAGGUGAAAUUCGUAGAUAUUCGCAAGAACACCAGUGGCGAAGGCGGCUCACUGGCCCGGUACUGACGCUGAGGUGCGAAAGCGUGGGGAG